UAAGACCUGGCGUUAAUGGAGCGNGCCGAUAUCUGAUUAGCUAGUUGGUGGGGUAAAGGCCUNACCAAGGCGACGAUCAGUAGCUGGUCUGAGAGGACGACCAGCCACACUGGGACUGAGACACGGCCCAGACUCCUACGGGAGCCAGCAGUGGGGAAUUUUGGACAAUGGGGGAAACCCUGAUCCAGCCAUGCCGCGUGAGUGAAGAAGGCCUUCGGGUUGUAAAGCUCUUUCAGCCGGNAACGAAACGNGUCACGGCUAAUACCCGUGACUACUGACGGUANNCCGGAAGAAGAAGCACCGGCUAACUACGUGCCAGCAGCCGCGGUAAUACGUAGGGUGCAAGCGUUAAUCGGAAUUACUGGGCGUAAAGCGUGCGCAGGCGGUUUUGNUAAGUCAGAUGUGAAAGCCCCGGGCUUAACCUGGGAACU
rnacentral:rRNA from 1 species